rnacentral:rRNA from 1 species
AACUUUCAACAACGGAUCUCUUGGUUCCGGCAUCGAUGAAGAACGCAGCGAAAUGCGAUAACUAAUGUGAAUUGCAGAAUUCAGUGAAUCAUCGAGUCUUUGAACGCACAUUGCGCCCCCUGGUAUUCCGGGGGGCAUGCCUGUCCGAGCGU